GCCAACCCCGCUCACAUGAUUGCGGAGAUGCAGCAGGAGCUAAAGAAGCAACAGAACUCUCAGCGCUUAAAUGGGGGUUGUGUGCAAAACAUAAACUCAGAACCAAAAUUUAGUCUUUGAAAGAAUAAGUACUACAUUCAAAAGCUAAGAGGAGCGGAUGCUCAGUGUUUUCCGCAGAACUUAGUGCUUUCUGAGUGUCCUGCAAAGCCACGUCCAGGGCUGCUGGACCAGAUUAGAUCACAGGGCGGUGGGGAGAGACCACAUCAAGGAUGCUUGGGCGGGAACCCAUGGCCACGAAGGUGGCCCGUCCCACUCUCCGGUGACGCCGAAGCUACAUUCGGGAACCAGCUUGCGAGACGGAAGACCGAUCCCUACCCCAGAUUGAGCCAACAGAGUAUUUUUCACUAAAAUUUUACAAAAACGCAGAUAUGGAGAGCGGCGCAGUGCUUUGAGCACGUACGUGAUUUGAAGGUGACACAAAGGAAGAAAUCCGUUCAGCUCUGUCGCCGACAAACACCACCAGCUCUAAACUGUGCAAAACCAGGAAGGAUUGCAGUGUGGACAGACAGGGAGCAGUCCUUCCUGGGAGAAGAAUGCACAGACUGAAGGAAGAAAGAGGCCCUGGCCACAGCUGUCUGUCCUCCACACGGUGGCCGGAAGGUUCCCGUGGAACCGGGGGGCAGAGGAAGAGGGAGAGAGAAUCUCAAGCAGGUUCCACGCUGAUCACACAGCCCGACUCAGGGCUCGAUCUCACCACCGUGAGCCGAAAUUGAGGGCUGGACACUCAGCCGGCUGAGCCACCCGGGCGCCCCUGUCUGGUGUGAAUUUUAUCUGUCUUGUUGGCGGUUGUAUCCCAGGGCCUGGGGUGGGCCGGGAGCCAUGGUAGGUGUUCUGCAGAUCCUCCAGGAUGAAUAAAUGAAGGAAUGAGUGAAUGAGUCUGCAUAAUAGCUUCUGUCACCCAGAUGGGAAAAAUGCCUCGUUAAGAGACGACGGCCAUCCUUUGGCCACAGACCGUGCUGGGCUCCAUUCAAGGGCGUGCGUGUGUGCACGUGUGUGUGCGUGUGUGCAAGGUGACUGGCAACGGGAAAGCAGAGGUGGACUGAACACGGCAUCUCGGGAAGCAACUGAGUCUCGGGACCCGGAGCAGGGGGUUACCCGGCUGGCGUCACCGACCUCAUGGGUUGCCCAUCCAUUUUCUCGUCUUCACCUUUAAAGACCCUGAGAUACGUGUCAUUGUCACCAUAGCACGGGGCAGGACACCCGGGACGUCCAGCGUCUCCCCAGGGACACAGAGAGCCAGGAGACAGAGUCUGGGCAGAAGGAGCAGAGAGACGUCAGGGGAGGGUCUGGGGCCCUCCCGCCAGGCGGGGUGUCUGGCCCGCCCGUCUGAGGGCGUCCUGCCGGCUGCGGCUGGUCCCGGAGGUUUGGCGCAAAUGGAGAAACCGAGGGUGCGUAGAAGCUGGCACCUGUGAAGCAACACCCCGCGAGGGCGAGGCCAGCGUCCCGCCUCCCCCACGGAGAGCCCCCGGACCGUACGGAGCCUGCAAACCCUUUCCAAGCGCUGUGACCGGCCAGCCGUGAAGCCCGUCUGCUCAUGCAGCAGGAAGAGCAGGGCUCAGAGGGCUUUGACCCACAGGCUCCUGUUCUCGGGGUCCCAGCAGAGCCCCCCGCCAAACACACAGGGGCCAGGCGUUGUGAAAAUCUCGCUGAACGAGGAACCAAGACGGGGUGGUUCCCGGGAGAAGACGGUGCUUUGCCUUUUGAGAGAGCAGCUUCUGUGCGUAGGGAGCCAGCUGACCCCUGGGACGCGGGGGCAGAACGAGAGGGGACACGAAGCCCGGCCCGGACGGGCUCAGGAGCCGUCUGGAGACAGGCCAGAAACUGAGCCCAGGGUCCCUGCCCUCAGAGCCUGCCCCCACGUGCCCCAUGGCGGAAACACGAUUCUCUGGGUUUUGCAAACUCUGGGGGCGGGGAGGAGGUCUGGAAGGAGGCUGGGCUCUGGGGGAGGCGGGGACAGGCAGCAUUCGGGUCUCACUGGGCGUCGGCCUGCACCUCGCACGUUUUGCGAGGUCUCUGGACCUAAUUUCAACAGAAUCUUCACAUUCCCGUCUCCAGCACCCCCACUUUACAGCUGAGGAAACUGAGGCUGGGAGGCGAGUGCUCCCGAGCCGCCAGGGCCUGCGUGGAUAUAGGUGACCAGAGACCCUGGGGGUGGGGACAAAGGCCAAGACACCUGAAGCUUGGUCACCCCAGGGCAGGGGGCCAAUAACUGAAUUUAAAAAUUGGAAUUAAAAAAAUACAUUAAGGGGCG